rnacentral:pre_miRNA from 1 species
UAUAACGUUUGAUUUUUUGUCUUAUUUAAAAAUUUUCUAUGAUUAUUAUUAUUAUUUAGUGAUAAAACAUGAAUAAUACUUUAUAAGUGACUAAUUUUAAAUUCUUUUCAUAAAUUUUUUAAAUAAGAUAGACGGUCAAACGUUGGACACAGAAACCCAAAACUG